rnacentral:rRNA from 1 species
UGGGGAAUAUUGCACAAUGGGCGCAAGCCUGAUGCAGCGACGCCGCGUGAGGGAUGAAGGCCUUCGGGUUGUAAACCUCUUUCGUCAGGGAACAAGGCACUGCUUUUUGGUGGUGUUGAGGGUACUUGGAUAAGAAGCGCCGGCUAACUACGUGCCAGCAGCCGCGGUAAUACGUAGGGCGCAAGCGUUGUCCGGAAUUAUUGGGCGUAAAGAGCUCGUAGGCGGCUGGUCGCGUCUGUCGUGAAAACUUCCGGCUCAACCGGGGGCUUGCGGUGGGUACGGGCCGGCUAGAGUGCGGUAGGGGUAACUGGAACUCCUGGUGUAGCGGUGGAAUGCGCAGAUAUCAGGAAGAACACCGAUGGCGAAGGCAGGUUACUGGGCCGUUACUGACGCUGAGGGGCGAAAGCGUGGGGAGCGAACAGGAUUAGAUACCCUGGUAGUCCACGCUGUAAACGUUGGGCACUAGGUGUGAGGCUCCUUUCCGGGGGUUUUGCGCCGUAGCUAACGCAUUAAGUGCCCCGCCUGGGGAGUACGGCCGCAAGGCUA